AACCUUUACACUGCACGACAGUGCGAUAGGGGGACUCCGAGUGCGAGGGCAUACAGUCCUCGCUUUUCUGUACCGUAAGGUGGUACAGGAAUAAGUGCUGGGCAAGACCGGUGCCAGCCGCCGCGGUAAUACCGGCAGCACGAGUGAUGGCCGAUAUUAUUGGGCCUAAAGCGUCCGUAGCCGGCCAGACAAGUCCGUUGGGAAAUCGACGUGCCUAACACGUCGGCGUCCAGCGGAAACUGUCUGGCUUGGGGCCGGAAGACUCGAGGGGUACGUCCGGGGUAGGAGUGAAAUCCCGUAAUCCUGGACGGACCGCCGAUGGCGAAAGCACCUCGAGAGGACGGACCCGACGGUGAGGGACGAAAGCUAGGGUCUCGAACCGGAUUAGAUACCCGGGUAGUCCUAGCCGCAAACAAUGCUCGCUAGGUGUGGCGCAGGCUACGAGCCUGCGCUGUGCCGUAGGGAAGCCGUGAAGCGAGCCGCCUGGGAAGUACGUCCGCAAGGAUGAAACUUAA
rnacentral:rRNA from 1 species